rnacentral:rRNA from 1 species
UACGAAGGAUGCAAGCGUUAUCCGGAUUUAUUGGGCGUAAAGCGUCCGCAGGUGGCUCUGUAAGUCUGUCGUUAAAGAAUGCGGCUCAACCGCAUACAGGCAAUGGAAACUACAAGUCUUGAGUUUGGUAGGGGUCAGCGGAAUUCUUAGUGUAGCGGUGAAAUGCUUAGAUAUUAAAAAGAACACCAGCGGCGAAGGCGCGUGACUGGGGCAGUACUGACGCUGAUGCACGAAAGCUAGGGGAGCGAAAAGG